CGGGUGAGUAAUGUCUGGGGAACUGCCUGAUGGAGGGGGAUAACUACUGGAAACGGUAGCUAAUACCGCAUAACGUCGCAAGACCAAAGAGGGGGACCUUCGGGCCUCUUGCCAUCGGAUGUGCCCAGAUGGGAUUAGCUAGUAGGUGGGGUAACGGCUCACCUAGGCGACGAUCCCUAGCUGGUCUGAGAGGAUGCCAGCCACACUGGAACUGAGACACGGUCCAG
rnacentral:rRNA from 1 species